UUGCUCACUUUGGCAGCACAUACACUAAAAUAGAACAAUACAGAGCUUAGCAUCGCCCUGUGCAAGCAUGACAUGCAAAUUCAUGGAACAUUCCAUAUUAAA